rnacentral:rRNA from 1 species
GAUGAACGCUGGCGGCGUGCCUAAUACAUGCAAGUCGAGCGAACAGACGAGGAGCUUGCUCCUCUGACGUUAGCGGCGGACGGGUGAGUAACACGUGGAUAACCUACCUAUAAGACUGGGAUAACUUCGGGAAACCGGAGCUAAUACCGGAUAAUAUAUUGAACCGCAUGGUUCAAUAGUGAAAGACGGUUUUGCUGUCACUUAUAGAUGGAUCCGCGCCGCAUUAGCUAGUUGGUAAGGUAACGGCUUACCAAGGCAACGAUGCGUAGCCGACCUGAGAGAGGGAUCGGCAACACAGGAGCUGAGACACGGUCCAGACUCCUACGGGAGGGCGCAGUAGGGAAUCUUCCGCAAUGGGCGCAAGCCUGACGGAGCAACGCCGCGUGAGUGGUGAAGGUCUUCGGAGCGUAAAACUCUGUUAUUAGGUAAGAACAAAUGUGUAAGUAACUAUGCACGUCUUGACGGUACCUAGUCAGAAGGCCACGGCUAACUACGUG